CUAUACCCGGAAUGGAUUGAUGAGGAAGAAGAAUCAGAAGUGCCUGCUUGUCCUUCUCUUUCCGAGCCUGGGGUCCCUAGUGGAUCGCACUUUGACCUUAUUGCAGUCAAGCUACCUUGUAAUAAGUCAGGAGAGUGGACACGUGAUGUUGCACGGUUGCAUUUGCAGCUCUCAGCAGCCAAGAUCGCUGCAGCAUCUGUGGAAG
rnacentral:misc_RNA from 1 species